AAACUUAAAUGAAUUGACGGGGCCCGCACAAGCAGCGGAGCGUGUGGUUUAAUUCGAGGCAACACGAAGAACCUUACCUGGGCUUGACAUGUUCGUGGUAGUGAAGCGAAAGCGGAUCGACCCUUCGGGGAGCGUUCACAGGUGCUGCAUGGCUGUCGUCAGCUCGUGCCGUGAGGUGUUCGGUUAAGUCCGGUAACGAGCGCAACCCUUGCUGUUAGUUACAAGUGUCUAACGGGACUGCCGGUUUAAUACCGGAGGAAGGUGGGGAUGACGUCAAGUCAGCAUGGCCUCUAUGUCCAGGGCUACACACACGCUACAAUGGCCGGUACAGUGGGUUGCCAAACCGCGAGGUGGAGCUAAUCCUCAAAGCCGGUCUCAGUUCGGAUUGUAGGCUGCAACUCGCCUGCAUGAAGUCGGAGUUGCUAGUAACCGCGCGUCAGCUAUAGCGCGGUGAAUACGUUCCCGGGCCUU
rnacentral:rRNA from 1 species